rnacentral:rRNA from 1 species
ACGCACGCUGGCGGCGUGCUUCACACAUGCAAGUCGAACGGAAAGGCCCUGCUUUUGUGGGGUGCUCGAGUGGCGAACGGGUGAGUAACACGUGAGUAACCUGCCCUUGACUUUGGGAUAACUUCAGGAAACUGGGGCUAAUACCGGAUAGGAGCUCCUGCUGCAUGGUGGGGGUUGGAAAGUUUCGGCGGUUGGGGAUGGACUCGCGGCUUAUCAGCUUGUUGGUGGGGUAGUGGCUUACCAAGGCUUUGACGGGUAGCCGGCCUGAGAGGGUGACCGGCCACAUUGGGACUGAGAUACGGCCCAGACUCCUACGGGAGGCAGCAGUGGGGAAUAUUGCACAAUGGGCGGAAGCCUGAUGCAGCAACGCCGCGUGCGGGAUGACGGCCUUCGGGUUGUAAACCGCUUUCGCCUGUGACGAAGCGUGAGUGACGGUAAUGGGGAAAGAAGCACCGGCUAACUACGU